CAGCCCCCGAACAGGGGCCGGGGGCCGCGAGGCCCGGGUUCGGAAAAAGAGCUCCGAAGACGCGCGCUUAGGUUCGGCAGGGCUAAGGUCACCGAGAGUCCUCUCGGAGGAAGAUGAGCCCUGAGUUAACAUCUGCUGCCAAUCCUCCUCUUUUUGCUGAGGAAGACUGGCCCUGAGCUAACAUCCGUGCCCAUCUUCCUCUACUUUAUAUGUGAGACGCCUGCCACAGCAUGGCUUGCCAAGCGGUAACUUGUCCACACCUGGGAUCCAAACUGGCGAACUCUGGGCUGCUGAAGUGGAACAUGCAAACUUUAACUGCUGCACCACAGGCUGCCCUUAUAAAUUUUGAAAUUUGGUGGUAUUAACUCCAUUUCUGUUCUUCUUCUUCAAAGUUGUUUUGUAUAUUCUAGGUCAUCUGCAUUUCCGUAUGAAUUUUAGAAUCAAGUUCUACAGAAAGACUUCUUGGGAUUUGGAUUGGUAUUCUAUUCAGUCUGUAGAUUAAUCUCGUGAGAACUGAUGUCUUAAUAGUAUAGAGUCUUCUGACCCAAUGAAAAAGAUAUAUCUCACCUUUUAUUUAGGUCUUCUUUAAUUUCUCUAAGUAAUGACUUUUAGUUUUUGGUAUGUAGGUCUUUCACAUCUUUUGUCAGAUUUACCCCUAAGUAUAGUGUAAUUCUGAUGAUAUUGUAAAUAAUAUUGUUUUUAAAUUCCUUUUGUUCAUUGCUAGUGCACAGAAAAGUAAUUGAUUUUUUAUGUCGAUCUUAUAUCCUGAUACCUUGUUGAAGCCACUUAUUAGUUCUAGUAGCUUCUUGGUCAAUUCUAGAUUUUCUCUGUAGAUGAUCAUGCCUACUGUGAAUAAAGACAGUUUUACUUCCACCUGUUCAAAAAGCAAAAGGCUUCCUCUCCUAACAUCACCCCACCCCACUCAGGUUUCAGAGAUAAGUCCUGUUUACAAUGCUUAGUUUUAGUUCCUCUGUCAAUCACAGUAUUUAUAUGGAUCUGUAGCCCAAAUUUAAAUGGUGUCUAUUGACACUCUACAAUAAAAGAUGAAAAAAUUAUACUAUUUUCCCUUCUUUCCUCCUGUUUUUCUCUCUCUGACUCCCAUUUUUCAGAUUACAUUAUAGUUUUACACUUUCUAGAUUUAUAACAAUUAUUUCCAUUUCUGAUCAUGUGGUGAGUUAGGUAAGCUGAAUAAACCUCCUCAGCAAACACCUAAACAUUCUGGAUAAAGCAUUUUAAAGCAGCUUAUUAAAUGCAUUCCCAAGCUGGCAAGAAAGUAAAGGAAAUUCCCAAAGACCUUGAGAGGAACAAAAGCCCAAAUCAAAAAAAGUAAACCAGUGCUGAAGAGAGAAAUCUACCAUUCCUUAAUAAGCUAGAAUUUCAAUUUUAAUGGUCUCUUGGAGACUGGAGACAAAGCCUUGGACCUCAUGAGGUGAAAAGUUAUAAUCUUAAACCCCUCCACAAAGCCAAGACCUGAAGGCCACAACCCUCAAUGAAAAUGUGAGUUAGGUAGAAGAAACUGAACAGUCGUAUAAGGGAAGGACAAAGAAGACAUGGGGGACUGGAGGUCUUGGAAAAAAGAGGGUCCUGUACAAGAUCCUUCCCAGGGUCAAUUAAAACCUCCUUCACUUUUAUUUAUGUAGUCAUCAUUUUCAUUGACUGUUGGUAAGUGGAGUUUCCUCUUAAUAUCUUUUGUACUCUGCCAUUCAUCUAAGUCUCUGAAUACGUUUUUCCUAGGGUUGUUGGAUAAUGAUGAAUUUAUGAACAGAAGAAGGAAUGGUAGGUCUCCGCACUCUCAAGCCUAGCUUUCAGCUAAUCCACAGUCAAUGUCUCUGGGUGUCCUGAGCUUAAGGUAGAUCAAAAUGAAUUUGAAUUCAGUUUUUAAAAUGUUUUUGUGUUUGCUAAAGGAAUUAGUAUGCCAUUGCUUGAUAUUUUCUUUUUUGCUAGAUUUAAAUCUGAGAUUAUGACACUGAGAAAAAUUUUGGAAAACUCUAUGUUUUCUUUAAAAAUUUUUAAAACCUCACUUUAUAUACUUUCCUCUGCAUGAAAAAAAGGAGAAUAAGUAACACUUUGAUAAAAUACAUUAGCAACAAUGAAUUUGUGUCAAAAACUAGGAAGUAAGGGUAUAGAAAUUAAAAUGCAAAACAAAAUUUUAAAACUAUAAUUUUUUUUUAAAAAAUCACCAAUCUUGUGCUCCUUUGAAAUGUCAUUCCUUUAUGUCCACAGUUUGUAAUCCUUUUAAUCUUACAACUCCCCACAAAUUGAUUUAUUCAUUUCAUAAAUUUUUCUCCACAGAAAAUAUGAAAAGGUUUUUUACUUCUAAUUUCCUAUAGUGCAGUAGGUUUUUUCCUUCAAGGGUGUGUGUAUUUUGUGAAUUCUACGUGGGUUUGAAAUGAACUUGGAGGCUAUAUAAUUAGGCUUUUUUUUCUUUUCCAGUUGUGAAGUAUGCAAAUAGAAAUUUUUAAAGGAAGAAAAGAGGUUAUCAUGUUCGUCAAACAUACUUUACUUCUCACAUUAAUGUGAUACUACUGUUAGACUACCCUAACUUUAGCUUUUCACUAAUGGCCUCCAAGAUUAUUUGAAGUCUGCUGCACUUCCUAUUAAGAAAUUGCAUACUAUCUAUGCAACUUUCUUGUGGUGAUCUAGCGUCACAAGAGUUUACUCAACUUACUUUGAAUUUGGGUUUUAGAACUAGCUUUGUUACAGUGUUAUUUUGAGGAAAUCACUUCAUCUCUCUGGGCUUCAAUAUUUGAUCUUUAAUGAUCUGUAAAAGGAUUAGCAAUUUUUAAAGUUUAAGGAAUAGUCCGCUUUGAAGUUGAUCACUCCAAGAAAUAUAAACAAUGAACAAUGCUGUGGUUUCACCAUGAAUUUGUAAUUUAAAAUGAGGUACUUGGUUGUUGGUAAAGUAACCUGAGAUAAUAUCAUAGCGUUUGAGUUCCUGAAUAGAUACAUACAUUGUGCAGUGCAGCUUAGUUUUUGAAUUUUUAUAACUUUAAUAGAUGUUUAAAAUUCUACAUUCUACUUUUUAUUAGUAAAAGUGAAUAUAGGAAGAUUGCAAUUGAAAUGCCAAAACUUGAAUUUGUAUAAACUCUGAACCUUAUUUAAAAUUCUAACAUAGUAAAGUUUUGAUAAAACAACUAUUCAUCAAAGCAAAUUCUCUCCAUAUAAAUAGACUUUUAUUGAUCUAAUUAAUGUAAUUGUGUUUCAUCAUGGCCAGGUGUAUUUGGAUGGUCUGUAUUUCUUUCUGUGAAAUUAAGCAUGACAAAGUACCUCCUGAAGGUUCUGGGGAAGGUUUUGAAAUAUCAUUGAAGUUUUUCAAGUAUUCAGAAAAAAAUGUAAACUUAUAAAGUACUCUGGACUCUUUGUGCUAUAUAAAUACAAAAUAUUGUUUAAAUAUUCUUAACAUAUGUUAACUUUAACCACA
rnacentral:lncRNA from 1 species